UACGGGAGGCAGCAGUGGGGAAUCUUGGGCAAUGCGCGAAAGCGUGACGCAGCAACGCCGCGUGGGGGAAGACGGCCUUCGGGUUGUAAACCCCUUUCAGGAGGGACGAAGGUGUGGCAUUUAACAGCUGUCCGCACUGACGGUACCUCCACAAGAAGCUCCGGCUAACUACGUGCCAGCAGCCGCGGUAAUACGUAGGGAGCAAGCGUUGUCCGGAAUCAUUGGGCGUAAAGCGCGCGUAGGCGGCCCGGUAAGUCCGAUGUGAAAGCCCAGGGCUCAACCCGGGGAUGCCGUUGGAUACUGUCGGGCUAGAGUCCGGAAGAGGGGAGUGGAAUUCCUGGUGUAGCGGUGAAAUGCGCAGAUAUCAGGAGGAACACCCAUGGCGAAGGCAGCUCCCUGGGACGAAACUGACGCUGAGGCGCGAAAGCGUGGGGAGCAAACAGGAUUAGAUACCCUGGUAGUCCACGCCGUAAACGAUGGGUACUAGGUGUGGGGGGUGUCGACUCCCUCCGUGCCGCAGCUAACGCAAUAAGUACUCCG
rnacentral:rRNA from 1 species